rnacentral:lncRNA from 1 species
AAAAAUAAAAAUAAAAAUAAAAUCUUAAUUUAAUAGAGACCUAAAAAAAAUGGAUCAAAUAAAAACACUAAUUAAUGAGAGUGAAGGUAAGUUGAGGGAGAAUCCCUUAAUCUUUUGUACGUGUUGUCCACGUAUUGGUUUCCACAGUUAUGCUUCGAUAAUACUUUUAGUAUAAUAAUUUGGUUUUUUUUACCGAGAUAACCCAGUUUUUCAAAAAAAAUC